rnacentral:rRNA from 1 species
AUGGACGGUGAGCGGCACCUAUUCCGCGCAGUCCUGUUACACGGCCACCUUCCAUGGAUCAACGGGAUGCCACUCCUGGAAGCUAAUCUGGAAGUGUUGGGCGCCGCCGCGAGUCAAGUUCUUCCACUGGUUAGCCAACCAGGACCGCUGCUGGACGGCAGAGAGGCAGGCUCGCCACGGUCUUCAACAUCAUCCCCGCUGCCUCCUAUGUGCCAGCAGCCGGAGACUAUGCGACAUCUGCUGCUGGAAUGCCCCCUAGCCCGUCAGGCAUGGCACGAGACCCUGGCCUGGCUACGCAUACCGGCCCCGAUCCCAACACAGGAACUGUCGCUUACGGACUGGUGGAACCAUGCCAAGGAAGACACGCCGCCGAUCCUUCGCAAGGCCCUGAAAUCUGUCUCGCUGCUAGUGCCUUGGAUGGUCUGGAAACACAGGAACAGCUGCGUCUUCGACAAUGCGACGCCAUCCCUUAACACGCUCCUAGAUAGCAUUCAGGACGAGGCCCCGCUCAUGGGCGGCAGCCGGGGCACCUGGCCUCCGACUUGUGCUGCCCCAAACCUGGGAUGUACAUUAAUUCACCUGCUGUAA